GGGGUUGUGGCUCAGCAGUAGAGCGCUCGCCUAGCAGGUGAGAAGCCCUGGGUUUGAUCCUCAGCACCA
rnacentral:tRNA from 1 species